CACGCCGUAAACGAUGAGUACUAGGUGUAGGGGGUAUCGACCCCCCCUGUGCCGCAGUAAACACAAUAAGUACUCCGCCUGGGAAGUACGAUCGCAAGAUUAAAACUCAAAGGAAUUGACGGGGACCCGCACAAGCAGCGGAGCAUGUGGUUUAAUUCGAUGAUACGCGAGGAACCUUACCCGGGCUUGAAUUGCAACCGAAUAAUCGAGAGAUCGAUUAGCCGCAAGGCGGUUGUGAAGGUGC
rnacentral:rRNA from 1 species